ACGGGUGCGUAACACGUGGGUAAUCUGCCCUUCGAUGGGGAAUAUCUUCGGGAAACCGAAGCGAAUUCCGCAUAACAUUCCUUGAACUUCGGUUUGGGGACUCAAAGCCGUAAGGCGUCGGAGGAGGAACCCGCGCACGAUUAGCUAGUUGGUAGGGUAACGGCCUACCAAGGCUUUGAUCGUUAGCUGGUCUGAGAGGAUGGCCAGCCACACUGGAACUGAGACACGGUCCAGACUCCUACGGGAGGCAGCAGUGGGGAAUCUUGCACAAUGGGCGAAAGCCUGAUGCAGCGACGCCGCGUGGGGGAUGAAGCUUUUCGGAGUGUAAACCCCUUUCGACCCGGACGAAUGCCCCGCAAGGGGACUGACGGUACGGGUAUAAGAAGCCCCGGCUAACUACGUGCCAGCAGCCGCGG
rnacentral:rRNA from 1 species